rnacentral:misc_RNA from 1 species
AGAUGGAUCAUUCACAGUUACACUGUCCAACUAUGGUCACAUGCAUGCAUGCAUGCAUGUCAAAAACACACGAACUUAAGGCAAUUGGUCAAUCAUUCUAAGUCAAAUAAUCAUUACUAUAAAUUCACGACUUUCAGCGAUGGAUGUCUCGGAUCUCGUAACGAUGAAGGACGCAGCUAGCUGCGAUACGCAGUGUGACUUGCAAACUUCUGAGAAUCAUUAGAUUUUUGAACGCAAAAGGCACUCUUGGGCUCUGCUCAGGAGUAUGCUCACUUCAGUGCUUUAUAUGUUUGUUAUCUUAAUUGGAAGGUAACGUGGAUAGACGCUGUGCAAACGGCCUCUGAAGUCGACUGGUCUAUGACUCUUUGGUGACCCCUUAGUAGCCAUGGCCAAUUAUAUUCAAACAAGCCUGAAUUUGAGCAAGGCUACCCGCUGAAUUUAAGCAUAUUAUUAAGCGGAGGAAAAGAAACUAACUAGGAUUCCCUCAGUAACGGCGAGUGAACAGGGAAGAGCUCAAACUGAGAAUCGGCAGUUCACUGUCGAAUUGUAGUCUCACGAAAUGAUGCCUGUGUUUAUUCUAGGCUAAGUCUCUUGGAAAAGAGUACCAAAGAGGGUGAGAGUCCCGUCUUUGCCUAGAGCUAUUCACGUUCGGUUCAUUUUCAAAGAGUCGCGUUCCUUGAGAUUGGAGCGCUAAGUGGGUGAUAAAUUUCAUCUAAAGCUAAAUACUAACGAGAUUCCGAUAGCAUACAAGUACCGUGAGGGAAAGAUGAAAAGGACUUUGAAAAGAGAGUUAAAAGGAACUGAAAUUGCUGAAAGGUAAGCGGAGAGUUUUGACUGUCUAGCAAUUCUCUGUGUCUGACUUGGUUUUGGCUGAGCUUGGGCGCUAGAGUUCUGCAAUGACUUUGGAAGUGGUUUUUCUUUCUGAGUAAAGUAUUGAUUGGAUCCCAUUGGGCUAACUUCUUUACUGGUUUUGGAUUGAGAGAUCUUAGCUCUAUCGUGCCACUUAAGUGGACUGCGUUAUAGAUUCCAGAGAUGUCGUUUCUCUCCGUCCCGUCUUGAAACACGGACCAAGGAGUCUAACUUAUAUGCGAGUACAAGGGUGUCAAACCCACGUGCGAAAUGAAAGUAAUUGUUAGGAUGGGCAACCUGCACUAACACCCGAUUCUCAAAUUGAGGUUGAGCAUAUAGGUUAGGACCCGAAAGAUGGUGAACUAUGCCUGAGUAGGGUGAAGCCAGAGGAAACUCUGGUGGAAGCUCGUAGCGAUACUGACGUGCAAAUCGUUCGUCAAACUUGGGUAUAGGGGCGAAAGACUAAUCGAACCAUCUAGUAGCUGGUUCCCUC